GGGGGUGUUUUGGAUUCGAUUUUCGGGUAGAGCGCGCAGCUGCCGUUCGAGAGUGAGGCGUCUCUCGUUAAUCCCCGUUUCAACACCAUAAAUGGCACUUACGAAGAAAUGCCCCUGGCUGCUUAAUGACGGCCACGUCGGUCCAGCGACACCUGCUAGCUGAUACCGGCGACGACAGCAGGCAUAGUAUGCGGUGCGACUCGCGGACUGCAUACCGUACCUUCAACCCGGGAGUUGGCCCUCGCUCAAGCGCCCGUGCGCUGCGCUGAGCAAGGGCGAGAUCAAAAGGCGCACUAUGACGGUAGAUGCGGCGCGUGAAGGCCGGAAAGACGCGGGUUCAACUCCCGCCACCUCCACCA
rnacentral:tmRNA from 1 species